CAGACAUUGAGUCCAUGUGCUUAACCUCUGAGCCACAUCCUCAGCCCUUUUUAUUUUUUAGAGGCAGGGUCUCACUUAGUUGCUUAGGGUCUUGUUAAAUUGCUGAGACUGGCUUUGAACUCAUGAUCCUCUUACCUCAGCCUCCUGAGCUGCUUGGGUUACAGGCGUGCACACUGUGCCUGCUUCCUUCCCUUUUUAAGCAAAGAAAAUAGUGUUUUCUUGUUGCUUUUGGGGAGUCUGGUUACUUACAUAGGUUAAAUGACCUGGCUUUUAAAUCACAUCAUCCUAGGGCCAAGGUGGUCCAGAGCAUUUACUGUGAGUUAUUUAAUAAAAAUCUGACGAUUGAUUCAGAAUAUCUCAUGUGCACAUUUAAGGUACUGAAUAUUAAAAACCCAAAAGAGAGGCAAAGAGAGAGUCCAAAGGGGAGAGAUUAAGAGAUUGAAACAGAAACUCAGACUGAGAGGGACAGAGAGAGUUCAAGGUAGGAAUGAGCAAAACUGGGUAAAGGCUGAGCAAAGCUGAGACUGAGGCCAGAUGAGAGGGACUGAGUCUGAGUCUGUGUUUAUUACAUUCUUUGAGUAUUCAUUGAGCCCCUACGGUGGGACACAUCAUUUUAAGCUGGAGUCAAGCAUUGAACAAAAUUUAUAUUCUGAUAGGAGAAGACAGACAAUAAACCAACGAACAAGUAAAAUGCAUUGCAUGUCAGAUGGAGAUAAAUGCUAUGGAGAAAAAUAAGCAGGAGAGGUGUUGGGGAGAUAAGAGUUAUAAAAUCAGGGAGUUGCUGGGUGUGGUAGUAUGGUACUAUGUCCUAUAGUUCAAGCUACUUGGGAGGUUGAGGCAGG
rnacentral:lncRNA from 1 species